AAUUCUUUCUUUGCAACCACUGCUAAUGCAUUCUGACAGAUACUAAUGUUUACAACUAGAAAUACUUGAUAAUGACUCUUUGCAGGGCACAGUCUAUCCGGUAGGAAAUCACACAGACCCUCCCUUUGUGCCAGCUCCAUUUGCCCUCCCAGACCAAGAUGAUUCCAUGCUAUACCUGGGAGUCUCCAGUUAUUUUCUUAAGUCUGCUUCACUGGCUUAUUACAGAGCAGGGGCCUUUAACAUCACCAUCUCUGAAGAGCUUGCUACUUCUUUCAACCUAAGCACCGGCUUAUGCAAAGAUUUUGUUCCUGAGAUGGCUCUGAGUAACGGAACGGCGUGCCCAGUGCUGCUGAAGCUGAUGGCUACAUCACCACCUGUGGUCAGUUUAAACGCAGACAGAUGCAUCCUCCAGAUCACUGGCUCUGUAGAAGCGUUUGCUGUUCUGCCAAAUUCAACCACCCACUACGUCUUUACAGGGAAUCUAGUAAGUAAGA
ensembl:lncRNA